rnacentral:rRNA from 1 species
GACGAACGCUGGCGGCGUGCCUAAUACAUGCAAGUAGAACGCUGAAGGAGGAGCUUGCUUCUCUGGAUGAGUUGCGAACGGGUGAGUAACGCGUAGGUAACCUGCCUGGUAGCGGGGGAUAACUAUUGGAAACGAUAGCUAAUACCGCAUAAGAGUAGAUGUUGCAUGACAUUUGCUUAAAAGGUGCAAUUGCAUCACUACCAGUUGGACCUGCGUUGUAUUAGCUAGUUGGUGGGGUAACGGCUCACCAAGGGGACGAUACAUAGUCGACCUGAGAAGGGGGUCGGCCAACCCUGGAAUGAGACACGGCCCAGACUCCUACGGGAGGCAGCAGGAGGGAAUCUUCGGCAAUGGACGGAAGGCUGACCGAGCAAAGCCGCGUGAGGGAAGAAGGUUUUCGGAUCGUAAAGCUCUGUUGUAAGGGAAGAAAGAGUUUGAGAGUGGAAAGUUCACACUGUGACGGUAUCUUACCAGAAAGGGACGGCUAACUACGUG